UCGGGGUUGGCGGGCGGAUGGUGGCACAUGCAGUCGUACGAGCAAGUCCGUUUCGGUGGGCAAGUAAAGUGGCGCACGGGUGAGUAACGCGUGGAUAAUCUACCCUUUAGUCCGGAAUAACUUAUCGAAAGGUGAACUAAUACCGGAUAAUAUCCCGAUUUUCUCGGAAAUCGGGAUCAAAGAAGGCCUCUGCUUGCAAGCUUUUACUGAAGGAUGGGUCCGCGUACCAUUAGCUAGUUGGUAGGGUAAUGGCCUACCAAGGUUAUGAUGGUUAGCUGGUCUGAGAGGAUGAUCAGCCACACUGGAACUGAGACACGGUCCAGACUCCUACGGGAGGCAGCAGUGAGGAAUAUUGCGCAAUGGGGGCAACCCUGACGCAGCAACGCCGCGUGAGUGAGGAAGGUUUUCGGAUUGUAAAGCUCUGUCGAGCGGAAAGAAAUGUAUCAUGGCUAAUAUCCAUGAUGCUUGACGGUACCGCUAGAGAAAGCACCGGCUAACUCCGUGCCAGCAGCCGCGGUAAUACGGGGGGUGCAAGCGUUGUUCGGAAUUAUUGGGCGUAAAGAGCGUGUAGGCGGCUGGAUAAGUCAGAUGUGACAUCCCUGGGCUUAACCCAGGAAGUGCAUUUGAAACUGUUCAGCUAGAGUAAGGGAGAGGAAAGUGGAAUUCCUGGUGUAGAGGUGAAAUUCGUAGAUAUCAGGAGGAACACCGGUGGCGAAGGCGACUUUCUGGCCCUAUACUGACGCUGAGACGCGAGAGCAUGGGUAGCAAACAGGAUUAGAUACCCUGGUAGUCCAUGCUGUAAACGAUGUUCGCUAGGUGUUGAAGGUAUUGACCCUUUCAGUGCCGCAGCUCACGCAUUAAGUGAACCGCCUGGGGAGUACGGUCGCAAGA
rnacentral:rRNA from 1 species